AGCUAAAGCAGGGUUCGGCCUGGUUAGUACUUGCAUGUGAGACCACCUGGGAAUACUGCGUGCUGUAGCUU
rnacentral:rRNA from 10 species